rnacentral:tRNA from 1 species
AAGAUUUUAAGAUAAAUUAAUCUAUUAACCUUCAAAGUUAAAUAUAUAUAUAUAUUUAAAUUUUAUAUAAAUCUUA